UGUCAAUAUACAGGUUUGGGUAUUGAAAAGUGAUGAUCGAGGAGAUGAUGACACAUCAAAAGAAAAUUAGCACUACGUCCAAGUUUUUGAAUUCAUCCACUGAAUUCAAAAGAUGGGGUAGGAAAUCCCCCUUAAUCUGAUAUGGGCUUUCAAUGAUUUCCCUUAACUGUUUUUGGAGCUCUUAGCCUUGGACAUAUGUUGAAAGGCAGCAAGGAUAUUGCCAUGGUGAAAGAUGAUCAAGAAUGGGAGAUAAUCGAAGCCAGAAAAGCGCUGUCCAGAACUGGGCCGCUAGAUUCAUACAAGCCAAAGAACUUAUCACUUGAAGAGGAGCUGAAGGCUUUACAAAAGAAGGUUGACAUAAAUGAUUACGAGUAUAAGUAAAUACCAAAUCUUAAUGAAGGGAUGUGAAUAGGUUUGGAAACAUUCAUCAAAAAAGAUGUCAAUGAGAAAGUUUUAAGAGUCAGUCAUUGUUUUCCAGGUUUAUAUUUUUGUAGGAUGUAACAUUGAAUGGUGCUUCCUUAUGGAUAGUCCUGUCUUGAAGGUCAC